GUGAAUCAUCGAAUCUUUGAACGCACCUUGCACCCUUUGGUAUUCCGAAGGGUAUGCCUGUUUGAGUGUCAUUAAAUUCUCAACCAUUGAACUUGUUUCUCUGGCUUGGAUGGUGAGGGUUGCGGGCUUCUAACGAGGUCGGCUCCCUUUAAAUGCAUUAGUGGAAACCGCUUGCAGGAUUCAUUCACUUCUGGCGUGAUAGUAUCGUCGUCAUAAGGGGUUUGCUUCCGAGGUAUCUGCUCUCUAACCGUCCGAAAGGACACUCUCAAAUGACUUGUUUGACCUCAAAUCAGGUAGGACUACCCGCUGAACUUAAGCAUAUCAAUAAGCGGAGGA
rnacentral:misc_RNA from 1 species